AUACUUACCUGGCAGGGGAGAUACCAUGAUCACGAAGGUGGUUUCCCCAGGGCGAGGCUUAUCCAUUGCACUCCGGAUGUGCUGACCCCUGCGAUUUCCCCAAACGUGGGAA
rnacentral:snRNA from 1 species